rnacentral:sRNA from 1 species
UCCUAAGAUCGCGGGACAGUUUGAUGC